rnacentral:rRNA from 1 species
UACGUAGGUGACAAGCGUUGUCCGGAUUUCCUGGGCGUAAAGAGCGUGUAGGCGGCCAAGCAGGUCCGUUGUGAAAACUGGAGGCUUAACCUCCAGACGUCGACGGAAACCGCGCGGCUAGAGUCCGGAAGAGGAGAGUGGAAUUCCUGGUGUAGCGGUGAAAUGCGCAGAUAUCAGGAAGAACACCAAUGGCGAAGGCAGCUCUCUGGGACGGUACUGACGCUGAGACGCGAAAGCGUGGGGAGCGAACAGG